rnacentral:rRNA from 1 species
AUUGAACGCUGGCGGCAUGCCUAACACAUGCAAGUCGAGCGAGCGGCGGACGGGUGAGUAAUGGCUGGGAAACUGCCUGAUGGAGGGGGAUAACUACUGGAAACGGUAGCUAAUACCGCAUACCAUCAGAUGUGCCCAGGUGGGAUUAGCUAGGUGGUGGGGUAACGGCUCACCUAGGCGACGAUCCCUAGCUGGUCUGAGAGGAUGACCAGCAACACUGGAACUGAGAAACGGUACAGAUGCUUACGGGAGGCAGCAGUGGGGAAUAUUGAACAAGGGGGGCAAGCCGGAUGAAGCCAUGCCGCGUGUUGGAAGAAGGCUUUCGGGUUGUAAAGUACGUUCAGCGGGGAGGCGUUACCCGCAGAAGAAGCACCGGCUAACUCCGUGCCAGCAGCCGCGGUAAUAC